AUUGAACGCUGGCGGCAUGCUUUACACAUGCAAGUCGAACGGCAGCACGGACUUCGGUCUGGUGGCGAGUGGCGAACGGGUGAGUAAUACAUCGGAACGUGCCCAGUUGUGGGGGAUAACUACUCGAAAGAGUAGCUAAUACCGCAUGAGAACUGAGGUUGAAAGCAGGGGAUCGUAAGACCUUGCGCAACUGGAGCGGCCGAUGGCAGAUUAGGUAGUUGGUGGGAUAAAAGCUUACCAAGCCGACGAUCUGUAGCUGGUCUGAGAGGACGACCAGCCACACUGGGACUGAGACACGGCCCAGACUCCUACGGGAGGCAGCAGUGGGGAAUUUUGGACAAUGGGCGAAAGCCUGAUCCAGCAAUGCCGCGUGCAGGAUGAAGGCCUUCGGGUUGUAAACUGCUUUUGUACGGAACGAAAAGCUUCGGGCUAAUACCCUGGAGUCAUGACGGUACCGUAAGAAUAAGCACCGGCUAACUACGUGCCAGCCGCCGCAGUAAAAC
rnacentral:rRNA from 1 species